rnacentral:lncRNA from 1 species
UUAUUGUCAAGACUUGAACCUUUGCCCACAUGUUAAAAGAGUUAAAAGAUAACCAUUUCUUCCACCAGCCCAUACUUAAAACUUAUCUCCCAAAGUUAAUUGGGUAUUAAACCAAAAUGAAUAUUAGUUGCCUUUGGCCCAAUACGUCGCCGUUCUGCCAAAAUUCGGUCCCUUUAACCCUACGUCAAAACGACGUAGUUUUGAUCCAUAAAACCCUAGCUAUAAAGUCACAAAUUUCUCCCCAAACCCGACUUUUGAAUUACCAUUUUC